GCCUGCUCAAACCCUCAGUUCAUUUGUGGAAAGCCUCCUCCCCUUUUAUUAAACCCCCACCUAUUUCUUGCUACACAGGCUCCCGCCACACACUGCAGAGCGCCAGUCCAAUAAUGAUGGAAAGCUCGAUUCUCCACAUAGUAUACAGAAGUUUCCUGCUCCACCUCCCCACAAUAUGUUCCCAAAUUCUGCUAUUGCUGGCCCCUAUAUUUAGGAAGCAAAAACCUUACAGCUGUGAAGGGUCCCCAUCUGCUUUCCACAAUGCUGGGUCCUUCCAGCUGUAAGACAAAAUCAUUGGCUAAUAAAGCUCUCUAAACCAUCCCCACCCCUGUUUUUCAGGACGCAACCUGCUUUCCUCAAGGUGUAACAGAAAUGCGUGGCUUACAGGGAAACUGAGCCCAGCAGAUGUCAAAGGCAGUCUGCAGUCAUGGCCCUCGCCUCCUCCUAUGUGUUGCUUCAGGCACUGUGGCAGGUGAUUUGUAACAACCUAUCUGCCUAAUGUUUUCUCAAAGGAACACUCCAUAAGCAAAACAGCUCCACAAGCCUAUUCACAGGUAACACUACUCAACAAAGAAAUGGAAACUAAUGCCAUAUCAUCCCAGCGAGACGAUCCAGGUGUGAAAAACCAGCAAGGGUCUCAGUUUUGUUAUGUCCUAGACAUGACUUUUGGUGUGAAUGAAACUGUGAUCUUAUACCUAUCAGGAGCCUGGAGUUGUGGGACAAGGUCAAAAGUCAAAAGUGGAGAGCAAGUCAAUACCAAGAAGCAAACUAGGAGGCAGGACCAAAAAGCAAGCCAGACGUUUGGACUGAAGAAUGAACUAAAGGAUACAGGGAAACACCACAGCCCAGGAAGACUGUUGUCUGAGCAAGGCUCAAGUGGAAUAGCUAGCCUGAGUAGGUGGAGUCGGUCGAGGGUCUGAGGGUAUUCCACUUGGUUACUAGAUGCUGCAAUCUGCAUUUCAGUGACUCACUACAUAUGGCAGCUUUGCACAGAUGCAAAGAAUGGGACAAAUAGUUUGCUCAUGAUAGUUUCACAUAUCCAAGCACCACAUCCAGCAGGUUUCUAUGCAAGUCUAAUCACUAGUUUCAUGUGAAUAACAUUUUCUGUGCUAGUUAUUUUUCUUACAGUUAAUCUCUUUGCUGUGAUAUCUUUUCCUAUCCCAAAACAGUGUCAUAUAUGCACAUAUAUCAUUAGGGGUUCUUGUGUUUGUAGCCACCUUCUAAAGUAUUAAGAAAUUCUUAUUAAUAACUUAAAAAACAAACAAACCUAAUUGCUCCCCAGCUUGGUUCUUGGCUUCCCAUGUCUAUAAUCUACUUCACUGUAUUUUAAUGUGAUUCUUUUGGCAUUUCCUCAUUUGGAUUGCACUUGCAGUUCUGUUCUCGCGACAUGUAUAAACUUCUGAGUGCAAGGGCAAUUCCUUCCAUGUGACAACACUGUCCUGACUCUUCCACUGUGAUGUUCCUGCAAAGGGGCCACAAAACAACUUGACUUUUAAAGGCACAAAUGACAUUUUUGAUGUUAUUCAUAAAGUGAAAGACGAUGCAAUUCUACAUGUUGGAAAUGGUCUAUUAAAUAUUAUACGACAGAGCUGGAGAGAGGGGCUCCGAUGACACUUUUCCACUUUUGUUGUCAUGGUUACUGUGAUGUCAUUAAAAUGCCAUGGUUACCAGAAUCUUCAUUUGUAUCAAAUAUUAGAGAAAAUAGAGAGGGUUUUAUCCCCAAAGUUUAGGGAAGCAUUGUUUUAGAAGUACAAAAAAUAUGCUUUAAAAGAAAGAGAAUCCCAGUGGUUAUAGUUCAUUCGUACAAAAGAAAUUACUCAUGGCUGACUGAAUUAAAUGUGUGAGUUGCCUUGCAUUGCUCUUUGAAAUAGGCUUUUAAAAAUUCUGUUAUUCUUUGAAAGUCAUACAUUAUGAAAUGUUGGGUGUAAAAAAAUAAAUUCCUCUUAUGCUUU